ensembl:lncRNA
GGCAUUACACAUGGAAGCUGUCUGUGCUGAUACUAAUACCCGCCGUGCACGCAGAGACAACUCAGACAGGAGCAGGACUGCGGUCCGACAUACGCACAGGUUUCUGCAAUCCUGGAAUCAGGCAGCCCCAGCUCUGCAGCUCUUGCAGUGUGUCUCCCCCCCUAGGCAAGUGACUCAGCCUCUAUGGACUUCCAUUGCCUCUCACAGGAAACCCACGUUCUGGGAUAGAAGUUUCUCAAGUCUGAUAGGCACAGGAUUUUAAGUGGUUCCUGGCUAGAGAUGUAAAUUAUUCGAACAGGUAUUUCUUUCGUACAGCUGAUUUUUACUGUGGCAAGCGGUUGGCUUUCAGUUUAGGGUUCCGGGGAGGAGGACUUUUUUCUUUUUACAUCAAUUUCUUGCCUGGAGAAUCCCCAUGGACAGAGGAGCCUGGUGGGCUACACCCAUGGGGUCACAAAGAGUUGGACAUGACUGAGCGACCAAGCACACCCACAGUCUUGAGGUUCCUGGAACUGCUGCUAUUGAUUCUGCAUCAGAGUGCUCUGGUUGGAUGCCUGCUUCCUGCUGCCUCCACUGGUGCAUGCCUCCUGAGGGCCUACUGUGUGCUUGGCAUGGUCCCCGGUGCCAGGGAUGCCGUGGGAAGCAAGACGGCGCCUGCCCUCCUAGGGCUCCCGGUUGAGUGGUACGGCAAAAUCAAAAGAGCAAGUAAAGAGAGAAAGAAUCCCACAUGGUGGGGACAGUUCCACACAGUCCGCUUCACGUCAGCAUCUCAGGGAAGGGGCAUGUGUACAUGUGUGUGUGUGCACGUGUAUGUGUCAGGGAUGUGACGACUCCCGGAACACAUAGGUCAGUUGAGAACACAGACCUGGGGGGCCAGGUGUCCCUGAUUUGAAUCUGGAUUUUUCCACUGAUGGGUGUGAAACCCAAACCAAAUUUCUUCUCUUUGGGCCUGAAUUUCUGUCUCUAUAAUGGUACCUACAGAGCAGGGCUGCAUGGAGGAUGAAAUGAAUAUCCGUAAAGAACUAAAGACAGUCGCCUGGCAUUGACCGUCUGCUAAGUCUCAGCCACUGUCUACUAACUAAG